rnacentral:rRNA from 1 species
AUUGAACGCUGGCGGCAUGCUUUACACAUGCAAGUCGAACGGUAACAGGCCGCAAGGUGCUGACGAGUGGCGAAUGGGUGAGUAAUGCAUCGGAACGUGCCCAGUCGUGGGGGAUAACGCAGCGAAAGCUGCGCUAAUACCGCAUACGAUCUAUGGAUGAAAGCGGGGGACCGUAAGGCCUCGCGCGAUUGUAGCGGCCGAUGUCAGAUUAGGUAGUUGGUGGGGUAAAGGCGCACCAAGCCAACGAUCUGUAGCUGGUCUGAGAGGACGACCAGCCACACUGGGACUGAGACACGGCCCAGACUCCUACGGGAGGCAGCAGUGGGGAAUUUUGGACAAUGGGCGCAAGCCUGAUCCAGCAAUGCCGCGUGCAGGAAGAAGGCCUUCGGGUUGUAAACUGCUUUUGUACGGAACGAAACGGUCCUGGUUAAUACCUGGGGCUAAUGACGGUACCGUAAGAAUAAGCACCGGCUAACUACGUGCCAGCAGCCGCAGUAACAC